AUUAUGCUUAUGUUUUUGAACAGUAAUAAAAUCUUUUAAUCAUCUGUUCUUAUCAGUUUAAUAUCUGAUACGUCCCCAUCGGGGGACUACAUAUUAAAUGGAUUUUUCGAACAGGGAGUCGGAAAUGGGGCUUGCUCCGUCCGCUCCACGAUCGACCCGGUAUUGCAGUACCUCCGGGAACGGUGCAACACUU
rnacentral:snRNA from 1 species